GUUGUGGCUCAGCGGUAGAGCACUUGCCUAGCAUGUGCGAGGCCCUGGGUUCGAUUCUCAGCACUACA
rnacentral:tRNA from 1 species